rfam:Camelus ferus unplaced genomic scaffold scaffold290, whole genome shotgun sequence.
GAGGGUAUAGCUCAGUGGUAGAGCGCUUGCCUACCAGGCGUGAGAUCCUGGGUUCAAUCCCCAGUACCUCCA